rnacentral:rRNA from 2 species
AUACAUGCAAGUCGAGCGGAUCUUUGGGAGCUUGCUCCCAAAGGUUAGCGGCGGACGGGUGAGUAACACGUGGGCAACCUGCCUAUGAGACUGGGAUAACUCCGGGAAACCGGGGCUAAUACCGGAUAAUUCUUUUCUACACAUGUAGAAAAGCUGAAAGAUGGUUUCGGCUAUCACUCAUAGAUGGGCCCGCGGCGCAUUAGCUAGUUGGUGAGGUAACGGCUCACCAAGGCGACGAUGCGUAGCCGACCUGAGAGGGUGAUCGGCCACACUGGGACUGAGACACGGCCCAGACUCCUACGGGAGGCAGCAGUAGGGAAUCUUCCGCAAUGGACGAAAGUCUGACGGAGCAACGCCGCGUGAGUGAUGAAGGUUUUCGGAUCGUAAAACUCUGUUGUUAGGGAAGAACAAGUACCGGAGUAACUGCCGGUACCUUGACGGUACCUAACCAGAAAGCCACGGC